UACGAAGGGGGCUAGCGUUGUUCGGAUUAACUGGGCGUAAAGGGCGCGUAGGCGGGUUUUUAAGUCAGGGGUGAAAGCCCGGGGCUCAACCCCGGAACUGCCUUUGAGACUGCGUCGCUUGAAUCCGGGAGAGGCGGGUGGAAUUCCGAGUGUAGAGGUGAAAUUCGUAGAUAUUCGGAAGAACACCAGUGGCGAAGGCGGCCCGCUGGACCGGUAUUGACGCUGAGGUGCGAAAGCGUGGGGAGCAAACAGG
rnacentral:rRNA from 1 species